rnacentral:rRNA from 1 species
AACGCUGGCGGCGUGCCUAAUACAUGCAAGUAGAACGCUGAAGCUUGGUGCUUGCACCGAGCGGAUGAGUUGCGAACGGGUGAGUAACGCGUAGGUAACCUGCCUGGUAGCGGGGGAUAACUAUUGGAAACGAUAGCUAAUACCGCAUGAUAUUGAUUAUUGCAUGAUAGUCAAUUAAAAGGUGCAAUUGCAUCACUACCAGAUGGACCUGCGUUGUAUUAGCUAGUUGGUGAGGUAACGGCUCACCAAGGCAACGAUACAUAGCCGACCUGAGAGGGUGAUCGGCCACACUGGGACUGAGACACGGCCCAGACUCCUACGGGAGGCAGCAGUAGGGAAUCUUCGGCAAUGGACGGAAGUCUGACCGAGCAACGCCGCGUGAGUGAAGAAGGUUUUCGGAUCGUAAAGCUCUGUUGUAAGAGAAGAACGAGUGUGAGAGUGGAAAGUUCA